rnacentral:misc_RNA from 1 species
UUUCCGUAGGUGAACCUGCGGAAGGAUCAUUAAUGAGUUGUCAUGGGGUUCGAUGCUGGCAGCCAGUUUUUGGAUGCAUGUGCUUGCCCUAACAAUCAUCUUCUUCCAAACACCUGUGUACAUUUUUGAGGGAGUCUUGAGUUGGUUGCCGCUCUUGGGUGAUUUUCUCACAUUCCCUUAAAUCAUUAUACGCUAUUAACAAUGUUGAACGUGCUCUGUGCCGCAAGGCCAUUAAUAUAAUACAACUUUUAACAACGGAUCUCUUGGCUCUC